AGUGAACGCUGGCGGUAGGCCUAACACAUGCAAGUCGAACGGCAGCACAGUAAGAUCUUGCUCUUACGGGUGGCGAGUGGCGGACGGGUGAGGAAUACAUCGGAAUCUACUUUUUCGUGGGGGAUAACGUAGGGAAACUUACGCUAAUACCGCAUACGACCUACGGGUGAAAGCAGUGGAUCUUCGGACCUUGCGCGACUGAAUGAGCCGAUGUCGGAUUAGCUAGUUGGCGGGGUAAGGGCCCACCAAGGCGACGAUGCGUAGCUGAUCUGAGAGGAUGAUCGGCCACACUGGAACUGAGACACGGUCCAGACUCCUACGGGAGGCAGCAGUGGGGAAUAUUGGACAAUGGGCGAAAGCCUGAUCCAGCAAUACCGCGUGAGUGAAGAAGGCCUUCGGGUUGUAAAGCCCUGUUGUUGGGAAAGAAAAGAAGCAGGUUAAUACAUCGCUGUUCUGACGGUACCCAAAGAAUAAGCAACGGCUAACUUCGUG
rnacentral:rRNA from 1 species